AUUGAACGCUGGCGGCAUGCUUUACACAUGCAAGUCGAACGGUAACGGGGACUUCGGUCUGCCGACGAGUGGCGAACGGGUGAGUAAUAUAUCGGAAACGUGCCCCAGUAAAUGGGGGAUAGCUCGGCGAAAGCCGGAUUAAUUACCGCAUACGCCCUGAGGGGGAAAGUGGGGGAUCUUCGGACCUCACGUUAUUGGAGCGGCCGAUAUCAGAUUAGCUAGUUGGUGGGGUAAAGGCCUACCAAGGCGACGAUCUGUAGCUGGUCUGAGAGGAUGAUCAGCCACACUGGGGACUGAGACACGGCCCAGACUCCUACGGGAGGCAGCAGUGGGGAAUUUUGGACAAUGGGCGAAAGCCUGAUCCAGCCAUGCCGCGUGAGUGAA
rnacentral:rRNA from 1 species